rnacentral:rRNA from 1 species
AUAAUGGGUCAGCGACUUAUAUUCUGUAGCAAGGUUAACCGAAUAGGGGAGCCGAAGGGAAACCGAGUCUUAACUGGGCGUUAAGUUGCAGGGUAUAGACCCGAAACCCGGUGAUCUAGCCAUGGGCAGGUUGAAGGUUGGGUAACACUAACUGGAGGACCGAACCGACUAAUGUUGAAAAAUUAGCGGAUGACUUGUGGCUGGGGGUGAAAGGCCAAUCAAACCGGGAGAUAGCUGGUUCUCCCCGAAAGCUAUUUAGGUAGCGCCUCGUGAAUUCAUCUCCGGGGGUAGAGCACUGUUUCGGCAAGGGGGUCAUCCCGACUUACCAACCCGAUGCAAACUGCGAAUACCGGAGAAUGUUAUCACGGGAGACACACGGCGGGUGCUAACGUCCGUCGUGAAGAGGGAAACAACCCAGACCGCCAGCUAAGGUCCCAAAGUCAUGGUUAAGUGGGAAACGAUGUGGGAAGGCCCAGACAGCCAGGAUGUUGGCUUAGAAGCAGCCAUCAUUUAAAGAAAGCGUAAUAGCUCACUGGUCGAGUCGGCCUGCGCGGAAGAUGUAACGGGGCUAAACCAUGCACCGAAGCUGCGGCAGCGACGCUUAUGCGUUGUUGGGUAGGGGAGCGUUCUGUAAGCCUGUGAAGGUGUACUGUGAGGUAUGCUGGAGGUAUCAGAAGUGCGAAUGCUGACAUAAGUAACGAUAAAGCGGGUGAAAAGCCCGCUCGCCGGAAGACCAAGGGUUCCUGUCCAACGUUAAUCGGGGCAGGGUGAGUCGACCCCUAAGGCGAGGCCGAAAGGCGUAGUCGAUGGGAAACAGGUUAAUAUUCCUGUACUUGGUGUUACUGCGAAGGGGGGACGGAGAAGGCUAUGUUGGCCGGGCGACGGUUGUCCCGGUUUAAGCGUGUAGGCUGGUUUUCCAGGCAAAUCCGGAAAAUCAAGGCUGAGGCGUGAUGACGAGGCACUACGGUGCUGAAGCAACAAAUGCCCUGCUUCCAGGAAAAGCCUCUAAGCAUCAGGUAACAUCAAAUCGUACCCCAAACCGACACAGGUGGUCAGGUAGAGAAUACCAAGGCGCUUGAG